CGAGGAGUGAUUGGGCGCACCUGAAUUCACUUCCUGAAUCAAGAUGCCUAUUUAUUCUCUGCUGAGACGCUCCUCUACGCCAGAGUAUACUUCUUCAUACCGUGUGCCUCCCAUGCCCACACAGCCCAGCACUCUCUGAGUUUAUGUUUUUUUGGAUCUCACGCUGCCAGUGACUACUUGUGUUUUUCAUGUUGUAAAUAAACCUUGGUUAACCCUCUCACCCUAACCGUCACGUUUAAAAAAGUAAUAGCAGAUGUCGGAUCAUCAGUCUAUUGCCUUCAGUUCAUCUCCUGUCAUCUCAUCUGCUGUCAGCUGCCGUCACUCAGAGAGACGUUUGGUUGGACUUCAGCACUGCCUGCAAUCACUCUGCUGCGUGUCGUUCUGGACUCUGUGUUAUAGGACCCCCCAGCGCUGAGAUGGAGCGCUCAGAGUUGGUUGUUUUAUUUCUGAGCUCUGUAGUGGAGCUGAAAGAGAUGAUGCUUCCUCAGCUCACUGCAGACGUGAAGAAGAGGUUCUGUCAGCUCCUUUGGCUGGAAGCACAAAUGACCGCCAUAGUCCUGAAAUACAUUUAUGGUUGAGAUGUAAUUUAAAAAAAAACACUGCAAAGAAAGCGUCCCUGUUACUGUGAUCUCUCUGCACACAGAGCUUCUUGAAGGGAAGGCGAUAGUUCAGGGAUUGAACUGUGCAUUUGAACGAUACAUGACAGCUCUGUACAGGCUGGAUUUUCACUUUACAGGAAACAAGUCAGGUUUAAACAUUAUUAUAUCAUCUUUAAACAUUAUUAUAUCAUCUUUAUUAUACUACAUCAUAAUACAAG